CCGACGGGUGCGUAACGCGUAUGCAACCUACCUUUAACAGGGGAGUAACACUGAGAAAUUGGUACUAAUACCCCAUAAUAUGGGCGCUCCGCAUGGAGAGCCCAUUAAAGAGAGCAAUUUUGGUUACAGACGAGCAUGCGCUCCAUUAGCCAGUUGGCGGGGUAACGGCCCACCAAGCCGACGAUGUCUAGGGGUUCUGAGAGGAAGGUCCCCCACACUGGAACUGAGACACGGUCCAG
rnacentral:rRNA from 1 species